rnacentral:rRNA from 1 species
CACGUAGGGUGCGAGCGUUGUCCGGAAUUAUUGGGCGUAAAGAGCUCGUAGGCGGUGUGUCGCGUCGGCCGUGAAAACCUGUAGCUUAACUGUGGGCUUGCGGUCGAUACGGGCAUCACUGGAGUUCGGCAGGGGAGACUGGAAUUCCUGGUGUAGCGGUGAAAUGCGCAGAUAUCAGGAGGAACACCGGUGGCGAAGGCGGGACUCUGGGCCGAUACUGACGCUGAGGAGCGAAAGCGUGGGGAGCGAACAGG